UUCGACACACUAUCAUUAACUGAAUCCAUAGGUUAAUGAGGCGAACCGGGGGAACUGAAACAUCUAAGUACCCCGAGGAAAAGAAAUCAACCGAGAUUCCCCCAGUAGCGGCGAGCGAACGGGGAGGAGCCCAGAGCCUGAAUCAGUGUGUGUGUUAGUGGAAGCGUCUGGAAAGGCGCGCGAUACAGGGUGACAGCCCCGUACACAAAAAUGCACAUAUUGUGAGCUCGAUGAGUAGGGCGGGACACGUGGUAUCCUGUCUGAAUAUGGGGGGACCAUCCUCCAAGGCUAAAUACUCCUGACUGACCGAUAGUGAACCAGUACCGUGAGGGAAAGGCGAAAAGAACCCCGGCGAGGGGAGUGAAAAAGAACCUGAAACCGUGUACGUACAAGCAGUGGGAGCCUCUUAAUGGGGUGACUGCGUACCUUUUGUAUAAUGGGUCAGCGACUUAUAUUCUGUAGCAAGGUUAACCGAAUAGGGGAGCCGAAGGGAAACCGAGUCUUAACUGGGCGUUAAGUUGCAGGGUAUAGACCCGAAACCCGGUGAUCUAGCCAUGGGCAGGUUGAAGGUUGGGUAACACUAACUGGAGGACCGAACCGACUAAUGUUGAAAAAUUAGCGGAUGACUUGUGGCUGGGGGUGAAAGGCCAAUCAAACCGGGAGAUAGCUGGUUCUCCCCGAAAGCUAUUUAGGUAGCGCCUCGUGAAUUCAUCUCCGGGGGUAGAGCACUGUUUCGGCAAGGGGGUCAUCCCGACUUACCAACCCGAUGCAAACUGCGAAUACCGGAGAAUGUUAUCACGGGAGACACACGGCGGGUGCUAACGUCCGUCGUGAAGAGGGAAACAACCCAGACCGCCAGCUAAGGUCCCAAAGUCAUGGUUAAGUGGGAAACGAUGUGGGAAGGCCCAGACAGCCAGGAUGUUGGCUUAGAAGCAGCCAUCAUUUAAAGAAAGCGUAAUAGCUCACUGGUCGAGUCGGCCUGCGCGGAAGAUGUAACGGGGCUAAACCAUGCACCGAAGCUGCGGCAGCGACACUAUGUGUUGUUGGGUAGGGGAGCGUUCUGUAAGCCUGUGAAGGUGUACUGUGAGGUAUGCUGGAGGUAUCAGAAGUGCGAAUGCUGACAUAAGUAACGAUAAAGCGGGUGAAAAGCCCGCUCGCCGGAAGACCAAGGGUUCCUGUCCAACGUUAAUCGGGGCAGGGUGAGUCGACCCCUAAGGCGAGGCCGAAAGGCGUAGUCGAUGGGAAACAGGUUAAUAUUCCUGUACUUGGUGUUACUGCGAAGGGGGGACGGAGAAGGCUAUGUUGGCCGGGCGACGGUUGUCCCGGUUUAAGCGUGUAGGCUGGUUUUCCAGGCAAAUCCGGAAAAUCAAGGCUGAGGCGUGAUGACGAGGCACUACGGUGCUGAAGCGACAAAUGCCCUGCUUCCAGGAAAAGCCUCUAAGCAUCAGGUAACAUCAAAUCGUACCCCAAACCGACACAGGUGGUCAGGUAGAGAAUACCAAGGCGCUUGAGAGAACUCGGGUGAAGGAACUAGGCAAAAUGGUGCCGUAACUUCGGGAGAAGGCACGCUGAUAUGUAGGUGAAGCGACUUGCUCGUGGAGCUGAAAUCAGUCGAAGAUACCAGCUGGCUGCAACUGUUUAUUAAAAACACAGCACUGUGCAAACACGAAAGUGGACGUAUACGGUGUGACGCCUGCCCGGUGCCGGAAGGUUAAUUGAUGGGGUUAGCGGUAACGCGAAGCUCUUGAUCGAAGCCCCGGUAAACGGCGGCCGUAACUAUAACGGUCCUAAGGUAGCGAAAUUCCUUGUCGGGUAAGUUCCGACCUGCACGAAUGGCGUAAUGAUGGCCAGGCUGUCUCCACCCGAGACUCAGUGAAAUUGAACUCGCUGUGAAGAUGCAGUGUACCCGCGGCAAGACGGAAAGACCCCGUGAACCUUUACUAUAGCUUGACACUGAACAUUGAGCCUUGAUGUGUAGGAUAGGUGGGAGGCUUUGAAGUGUGGACGCCAGUCUGCAUGGAGCCGACCUUGAAAUACCACCCUUUAAUGUUUGAUGUUCUAACGUGGGCCCCUUACCGGGGUUGCGGACAGUGUCUGGUGGGUAGUUUGACUGGGGCGGUCUCCUCCUAAAGAGUAACGGAGGAGCACGAAGGUUGGCUAAUCCUGGUCGGACAUCAGGAGGUUAGUGCAAUGGCAUAAGCCAGCUUGACUGCGAGCGUGACGGCGCGAGCAGGUGCGAAAGCAGGUCAUAGUGAUCCGGUGGUUCUGAAUGGAAGGGCCAUCGCUCAACGGAUAAAAGGUACUCCGGGGAUAACAGGCUGAUACCGCCCAAGAGUUCAUAUCGACGGCGGUGUUUGGCACCUCGAUGUCGGCUCAUCACAUCCUGGGGCUGAAGUAGGUCCCAAGGGUAUGGCUGUUCGCCAUUUAAAGUGGUACGCGAGCUGGGUUUAGAACGUCGUGAGACAGUUCGGUCCCUAUCUGCCGUGGGCGCUGGAGAACUGAGGGGGGCUGCUCCUAGUACGAGAGGACCGGAGUGGACGCAUCACUGGUGUUCGGGUUGUCAUGCCAAUGGCACUGCCCGGUAGCUAAAUGCGGAAGAGAUAAGUGCUGAAAGCAUCUAAGCACGAAACUUGCCCCGAGAUGAGUUCUCCCUGACUCCUUGAGAGUCCUGAAGGAACGUUGAAGACGACGACGUUGAUAGGCCGGGUGUGUAAGCGCAGCGAUGCGUUGAGCUAACCGGUACUAAUGAACCGUGAGGCUUAACCUUACAACGCCGAAG
rnacentral:rRNA from 1 species